rnacentral:pre_miRNA from 1 species
AACAUACUCCCUCCAUCCGAAAAUACUUGUUGAAGAAAUGGAUAAAAAUGGAUGUAUCAAGAACUAAAAUACGUCUAGAUACAUCCAUUUCUCCGACAAGUAUUUCUGGAUGGAGGGAGUAUUUA